CCUUGUUAUAUAUAUUCUCAUUCAAUUCUUUUCUUUUAGUAUUUCAAUUAAUAGUUUAUGCUUUUUUAAGUUUAGUAUAUAAACCUUGUAAACAUUUUUUAAUCUAGUUUUCUCGUUCCUCUCUCUUUUUCCCAUCACGAUCUACGAACAUCACACUCAAUCCUCUCUUGAUUCGUGGUGUUGUCAGUUUCUACAUGGUAUCAGAGCUCUGCAUUUUUGGAUCGACGUUACAAUAUCGUGGCAGGCGAUGAGAACAAGAAAGGAAAUGGCCAAGAUUUUGAACAAUUGGUUAACAAGCACUCUAGUCCGUAUUACCUUUUUAGUGCGGACCAAUUAGAGCUUGCAUCGUGUUUAAGAUUUCUACUGGGCAACAAAACUUCUAUGAUUGGGAGAAGGCGAUGAUAGUCUCCAUUGAUUCGUGGAAGAAACUCGGAUUUGUUGAUGACAAUCUCAAAUGUUCGACCUUCCCUUGUGAUGAACAGGAGGUGUGGGACACUUACAACAACCUGGUGCUGUCUUGGAUUUACAAUUCCGUUGAUCUGGAAAUCUCUGCAACUUUAAUUUCAACCUCUUCAGCAUUUGCGACUUUAUUAUAAGAAAAAAGACAUUGUAUGACGGUAGAAGUUUGGACUACGUUUGCAAACAGGUAUAGAUAAGAGAAUAUCCCGCACCUUUUUAAAUUGAAACAACUUUAUGCCUCUUCUCAAGGAAGUUCAAAUGCGACUUUAAAAAAAAAAAUUAUGGGAUCUAUUUGAUUCUUUCAUUGCUAAACCUUCUUUUGUCUUAAGUUUGUGUACUUAUGACAUAAAUAAGCAAAUUAGGGACAUGGAACAAGGGACAAAGUGAGGAAUUAAUUAUGAAUGUUAGAACACAGAUUUUAGCACUUGAACAGGUUCCUCACAUGGAUAGAGCUCUUAGCAUGGUCACCACUGAGGAGGACCAUGCCAUAAAAGAGGUCAUUUAGAGCAAACUCAAAUUUAUGUGGCAAAAAAGAGAGUUAAGACUAUGUAACCAGCAGAGAAUGAAGUUAAAAAAAGACAGAAAAAGAUGAGGAUUUUCCUGAAAGUUGUGUUAAAUAAGAAUGGCAAGAGAUUAAACAAAAAAUGGUUUUGUGACCGUUGUAAAUAACGCAUGGUUACAUGCAAGAUAGGUGUUAUUUUCUUCAUGGAUUUCCAGAUAAGGGAGGCAAGGAAACCAAAGCUAUGCUAGUUAAGGCAUUGAACUCACAGAGUGAAGAAGAAACCAAGAAACAAUCUGAGAAAGUUGAAAACACAAAAUUAACUGAUAAUGAGAAUGAAACUCUGAAAAAAUGGAUGGAUAAGGAAAAGAUUGAUAUGAUUUUUUACUUGAUCUUUUUUAUGAAAAUCAUGAUCUGUUUUGCAGGUUUUUUUUAAAAACAGAAGCAAAUAAUUUAGAAUCUAAGAUAAAUCCUAAAUUAAAUGAUGCAUGUGCACACACCCAUAUGUUACAACUUAAUUGUGACUCAUUAAUAUGAUAUUAAGGUAUCUUUUAUGCCUACCUCUUGUGUCUUGCAGGAAGCAACCUCACUUCAAGUGUUUGGACAGUGUAGCUUGAUUGAGGGACUUUAUGUUUUAUCUGUUGAAUUUUUAAAUAGCCAUAGUGUUUUACACAAACUAAAUGUGGUUAUUCCUUUUGAUACCAGCUGACACUCGAUCCAGAUUAGGACAUGCUUUUACUAAAAAGUUAAAUUUUAGUAGUCACAAUUUGUGAGUGGUCAUAUAUAUCUUAGUAGCGUUUUAAUUGUAUACCAGAUAAAGUGAGGUCAGACAAGGAUUUACGUACGGAGCUCCUCAACAUUAACCAUCUUCGUCAUUACGUUUGACAUUCUUCACAAAUCAACAGAUCGGAUCGUCGACGACGUCUCUGAUACCACCUGAUAGCUAGCGGAAGCGGAAUUGGAAUUGAAAAUAGUACCUGGCCUUCACAGGAGCGAAGUACGAUCUGUCAAUGGAUGGAGGAAGAAUACGAUAUAUAGAUGAUUAUCAUCGUAGAGAUCGAGGGAUGAUCGGAGAUAAGAAUGACUGGAAUUCACCAACGGAAGAUUAGAAAUACGAUCAAAACUGCCUCCACUAACCG
rnacentral:lncRNA from 1 species